AACGAACGCUGGCGGCAGGCUUAACACAUGCAAGUCGAACGGGUGCAGCAAUGCAUCAGUGGCAGACGGGUGAGUAACACGUGGGAACCUUCCUAGGGGUACGGAACAACUCAGGGAAACUUGAGCUAAUACCGUAUACGUCCGUGAGGAGAAAGAUUUAUCGCCCUUAGACGGGCCCGCGUCGGAUUAGCUAGUUGGUGGGGUAACGGCCUACCAAGGCGACGAUCCGUAGCUGAUCUUAGAGGAUGAUCAGCCACACUGGGACUGAGACACGGCCCAGACUCCUACGGGAGGCAGCAGUGGGGAAUCUUGGACAAUGGGCGGCAAGCCUGAUCCAGCCAUGCCGCGUGAGUGAAGAAGGUCUUCGGAUUGUAAAGCUCUUUUGCCAGGGACGA
rnacentral:rRNA from 1 species